rnacentral:rRNA from 1 species
AGGGAAUCUUCCACAAUGGACGCAAGUCUGAUGGAGCAACGCCGCGUGAGUGAAGAAGGUUUUCGGACCGUAAAGCUCUGUUGUUGGUGAAGAAGGAUAGAGGUAGUAACUGGCCUUUAUUUGACGGUAAUCAACCAGAAAGUCACGGCUAACUACGUGCCAGCAGCCGCGGUAAUACGUAGGUGGCAAGCGUUGUCCGGAUUUAUUGGGCGUAAAGCGAGCGCAGGCGGAAGAAUAAGUCUGAUGUGAAAGCCCUCGGCUUAACCGAGGAAUUGCAUCGGAAACUGUUUUCUUGAGUGCAGAAGAGGAGAGUAGAACUCCAUGUGUAGCGGUGGAAUGCGUAGAUAUAUGGAAGAAUACCAGUGGCGAAGGCGGCUCUCUGGUCUGCAAACUGACGCUGAGGCUCGAAAGCAUGGGUAGCGAACAGGAUUAGAUACCCUGGUAGUCCAUGCCGUAAAACGAUGAGUGCUAAGUGUUGGGAGGCUUCCGCCUCUCAGUGCUGCAGCUAACGCAUUAAGCACUCCGCCUGGGGGAGUACGACCGCAAGG